AUACGGAGGGUGCAAGCGUUAAUCGGAAUUACUGGGCGUAAAGCGUGCGCAGGCGGUUUGUUAAGUCAGAUGUGAAAGCCCCGGGCUCAACCUGGGAACUGCAUUUGAAACUGGCAAACUAGAGUGUGGUAGAGGGAAGUGGAAUUCCUCAUGCAGCGGUGAAAUGCGUAGAUAUGAGGAGGAACACCAGUGGCGAAGGCGACUUCCUGGACCAACACUGACGCUCAUGUACGAAAGCGUGGGUAGCAAACAGGAUUAGAUACCCCGGUAGUCC
rnacentral:rRNA from 1 species